rnacentral:lncRNA from 1 species
AAAGGGGACACUGCAGCUAAAAUGGAGCCUUUGCCUGUAGAGAACUUUUGCCCAUCUGGUAUGCACCUCCUUGGCCCUACUCGGUUUCUUCCUCACCUAUGGGUUCACAAUCCCUGACGACAGCAUCCUGGUGACGUAGAUUCUCUGCCUCUAUGAGUUAGAGGAGGAAAGGCAAGGAUGUGUGUAUUUGCUACCCCCUCCCCCAUGUGAGAGUGUCCGCUGCCCAGGUGAUACUGCUGGUGAAUGACAAAGGCUGGGCAGCGUCUUCCAAGUCUCCUGUACUUUGCCUCCUACCUUGUGCACUGACACAGCAAGGGAACAGAGGUACAGCUACCUUCUAAUCGGUACCUUCUGUUAAGUACCCAGCUCGACCACAAAAUGAUGUCACCUAAGAACCUUGUGUACUGUGUGUUAGCCAUGAAGCCGGUCUGUGUCCUGGAGAAACUUUUGCACCUGGAGAAAGAAGAGAAGAAACAGAAAACACACAGAGAAACUGAUGCUCCAUGUCAGUGGUCCUGCAGCUGCAUGAGGUGUGAGAAGGAAAGACUGGUGGCCAGAGCCUGAGCCCGGGGGGUGAAGGAGCCAGUGCGCUUGGCACCGAAGGGUGAACCAGUGCCCCUGCCCCCAUGCCAGUGGCUGCUGUGUUUUUGUUCUUCCUUCCAAAUCAGACUCUGGGGGUUUCUUAGGCAGAACCCAGAAAGGGCUUGCUGCUUCUGCAGCCUGGAGAAAGAUGGUGUGAUUUGGACUAGCCGUCAAGGAGGUGGAUGUCUUUACACCUUCAUUUCAGCGUCCUGGGAGGUGGAACUCCCUUUUGUAUCUCAAGGUUAGCCUAAAGCCAGGGAUGCCAUCUGUGGUGGCAGAGGUGGGUAAAAACCCGAGUUUCCCCGCUUCAUUCUGCCAGACAGCUUUAAAAAAUGAUUUCAUGUUUUGGCAGAAGUAUCUGAGAUUGAGUCAAUUUGCUAUUAAAAUUAACAUGACCUUUUGGGUGUUUGUGCAGGAAACCCUGAGAGUGGAUCCAACAGAGUGGAUGCCUACCUUGAAGGGGGUAAAAUUUGGUUUUGCCUCAUCCCUUUUUGUUGGGCUCUGAAGGCCCUUUGUAUUGGGUUUCGGCCUCUUCUGCUUUUACAUUUAUAAUCCUGCUGGGUAUUUGGCACUUGUGGCUUGGAUCAGGCAUUGAUGGAUGUUUAGUGCCCGUGGUUGUGGGCUCAGCCCUGCCUAGGUUUGCUGCCGUAGGACACAAACUGGAAUGGAUUAUAGAUGGUCUGCCUGUAACAGGAGAUAGAAUUGAACAAGUAUUUCAAGAGUCCUCACCCAUGACCAUUCAGUACCUGACUGUGCUAGUCCGUGCUAGUCCGUGCUAGGCAUCAGCUCGCAUUCAGAGGUCUGUCUGCCGUAUUGAUGUAGAGAACACAGCCCUCUUCUGGUGAAAGGUUGCCUGUUGGGAAGAAGAGCUGAGGAAAACUGUGAAGAUCCAGUGCCUUGAUUUAGCUCCAUGAGAGUCAGAGUCCUUUCUCAGCUCCCAGUUGAGCACCAGAGAUGAUGGCCUCACACCUUUUGCCCCUGUCAUCAGUCCCUA